rnacentral:rRNA from 1 species
AACAUUGAGCCUUGAUGUGUAGGAUAGGUGGGAGGCUUUGAAGUGUGGACGCCAGUCUGCAUGGAGCCGACCUUGAAAUACCACCCUUUAAUGUUUGAUGUUCUAACGUUGGCCCGUAAUCCGGGUUGCGGACAGUGUCUGGUGGGUAGUUUGACUGGGGCGGUCUCCUCCUAAAGAGUAACGGAGGAGCACGAAGGUUGGCUAAUCCUGGUCGGACAUCAGGAGGUUAGUGCAAUGGCAUAAGCCAGCUUGACUGCGAGCGUGACGGCGCGAGCAGGUGCGAAAGCAGGUCAUAGUGAUCCGGUGGUUCUGAAUGGAAGGGCCAUCGCUCAACGGAUAAAAGGUACUCCGGGGAUAACAGGCUGAUACCGCCCAAGAGUUCAUAUCGACGGCGGUGUUUGGCACCUCGAUGUCGGCUCAUCACAUCCUGGGGCUGAAGUAGGUCCCAAGGGUAUGGCUGUUCGCCAUUUAAAGUGGUACGCGAGCUGGGUUUAGAACGUCGUGAGACAGUUCGGUCCCUAUCUGCCGUGGGCGCUGGAGAACUGAGGGGGGCUGCUCCUAGUACGAGAGGACCGGAGUGGACGCAUCACUGGUGUUCGGGUUGUCAUGCCAAUGGCACUGCCCGGUAGCUAAAUGCGGAAGAGAUAAGUGCUGAAAGCAUCUAAGCACGAAACUUGCCCCGAGAUGAGUUCUCCCUGAGACUUAGAGUCUCCUGAAGGAACGUUGAAGACGACGACGUUGAUAGGCCGGGUGUGUAAGCGCAGCGAUGCGUUGAGCUAACCGGUACUAAUGAACCGUGAGGCUUAACCUUACAACGCCGAAG